AAAACCUAACACGACGAGCUUUCAGAGUGAUUGACAGAAGAAAGGGAGCACAUACUGCAAUUAUGUGACCACAUACCUUUGCCGUGCGUGCUCUCUUCUCUUCUUGUCAAUCUCCGUCUCUUUCUUCGAUCCAGUUCCCUACCUCUCCAUUUCCGGUUAAUGUAACUGCAGAUCGAGUGAAUGAUGGAAGGAAGGAACAUCGAACAAGUAGCCCUAAAUAAAGCAAGGAGAAGAAGGAACGUUUCCCAGAUUUGCCAGUAUGCUUGAAUUUACACACAAGGUAAGUAAAUAAUGUAUUAUUUUUCGGAUAGAAACGUGAUGGAUCCAUGAGUUAGAUUGAAAGGGAUGACAUGUAUUUGAUUGUUGUAGCAUUGCACCGACCUUGUGGAAAAUGAGAUCAUAGCUUAGGUUGGUGAAAAUGUGGUGUAUGAAGUCUGCAUAAAUAGGUUGCCCAGAACAAUGCACAAACUAUUUAUCAGUAACAGCUUAUUAUAACAGAAGGUGUUAAUUAACG
rnacentral:sRNA from 1 species